rnacentral:rRNA from 1 species
CAGUAGCCGCGGUAAUACGUAGGGUGCAAGCGUUAACCGGAAUUACUGGGCGUAAAGCGCACGCAGGCGGUCUGACAAGUCAGAUGUGAAAUCCCCGGGCUUAACCUGGGAACUGCAUUUGAAACUGUCAGGCUGGAGUCUUGUAGAGGGGGGUGGAAUUCCAGGUGUAGCGGUGAAAUGCGUAGAGAUCUGGAGGAAUACCGGUGGCGAAGGCGGCCCCCUGGACAAAGACUGACGCUCAGGUGCGAAAGCGUGGGGAGCAAACAGGAUUAGAUACCCGCGUAGUCCCUGUCUCUUAUAA